rnacentral:lncRNA from 1 species
AAAUUAGUUGUUGUGCUAAUUUGCAUGUAAGUUGUGAUAUAGACAAAUCAUGUUUGGAUACAAGGAAUAAUGUUGAAUUUGAUUGCUUGCUGUCAAUUUAACAUUAAUAAUGCGUUACCUUAUCAAGUUUAGACUGAAAUCAAUACAAGGAAUAUUCUAUAAUUGAUGAAUUUCCCAGAUGAAAUUAGUUGUUGUGCUAAAUUGCAUGUAAGUUGUGAUAUAGACAAAUCAUGUUUGGAUACAAGGAAUAAUGUUGAAUUUGAUUGCUUGCUGUCAAUUUAACAUUAAUUAUGCGUUACCUUUCCAAGUUUAGAUUGAAAUCUUGAGACUAACUGCAAAUUGUGAUCAUGGUGUAGCAUCUAUGCGCUCGAAUCAAUUGAAAAUGGAGCUAUGAGGGCGGCACAAAGCUCCACAAAUAGCAU